ACAUGCCUACAACAUAGUUUUAAUGCAUCGGAUCCCAUUAGAACUCCGCAGUUAGGUGUGCUCAGGCUAAAGUAGUACUGGGAUGGGUGACCGCCUAGGAAGUCCUAGUAUUUUACAUGCC
rnacentral:rRNA from 1 species